AUGCUUGUCCAAACCUCAGUGCAUCUGUGGAGGAGCAAGCGCAGUGACGAAGCCCGUUACAGCGAAGAGAUGGUUCUGCUGCUGGCACUAGCAGAAGUGCUCUUCGUUCUGGGUUUGGCCAUGGACUCAGACUCCCUCUGCUCACCCACUACUUUUUACAAAAACUGCUGGAUCCGACGCUUCCCAGGUCUUCUGAUCGACCUGCAGGAAUCACAGCGGAGGGGAGCCCAGGUGCUGAAGAUUUAUUCAGAAGUCUCAUCCCAACAAUGCAGCAGAACCUGCUGCCUGAUGAAGAAUGUGUCCUGCAAUCUAGCAGUGUUCUACCAUGGAGCUCCUCAUGAGAACAUGAACUGCCUGCACUUGUCUUGCCCAGCAUUGGAAAGCUGCAUACUAAAGGCUAGAAUCAACACCAUUUUGUACAACAUCACAAGAGGGAUUGACCCAGAUCUUCUUAUUUUUGAGAAACUGACACCAAGAGAGCCAAAUACUCACUCCUCACUGAACAAAUAUGAAAGGCAAAACAGCACAAAGAUGACUGAGCCGGAAAGAUGCCAGCAAAAUGAUGUCACAUCAAGUUCUCUUCUACGCCAAGCUCCAUCUUCUACCACUAGCCACGGCUUAACAGCAGACAGUUACACCUUCAGCACAAGCCUAAGGGUCCAAAAAAUUGAAGUUACCACUUUGUCCAGGCCAGAAACUUUUCUACUAGAUGAUCAUUUUGCUAAGAAGACCAGCACGACUUCAGUAAGCAGUGGGUCUCUCACCAGUUCAGACCAAAGGACUGUACAUUCAACUCUGAUAUCUAAAUCCUCCGAAACGUUAUCCCACGUGCCCACUCCUUCUCGUCUGAACAGCAGUAAGCAAUACUUUAAUGAUACCAAAGGCUACAGCGGUAGGAACUAUACUUCAGAUAAUGAGGCACCUGCUUGGGAAGCUGUAGCUUUGGGUGUCUGGUUGAUUCCGGUUGUUCUUUGCUCUUCUCUUAUCUUCCUUUGCUGUUGUACUGUUGCUCUUGCAGCAGGGUGUUGCAGAAAGAGAAGAGGUGAGUAUAAGCCCAUAAAGAGAGGAAGAACAGUGUAUAGGCAGUUCAUAAAAUAUACUACUGUCAAAAGUAGUUUGUAAAAUACUGUCACCAUCCUUGUUUUGGAACAAACAGUUUUUUAAAAAUGAAUUGUAUAUAACAGCUUAUUUCUUACAUGUUUCUUUUACAGAACAAAAGAUAAUUUUUACUCACAGUUUCAGCAUCUUUUGGUUGCAGUUUCCUUCUCAUGAGAUAAAACACAGUUUCCUUGUCUCUUCAGGGAAGUGGUACACAUUCCACAGCUCCCACUGCAUGUUCGGAGGUUUCUGAGCACAUUUGGGUUUAUAAUCUGACCCAGACUAAUGCCUAACAAACAGUAUAUACUUACUAUAAUUUAAGAGAGCAGGUUCACUGCAGCUUUACAUAUCCUUUCCCUCACACUGACUAACCUGAGAAAAUGAAGUAUAUAUGCAAUCAGUAAAACUGAUUGAAGUUUCACAGUAUCAUAAGAGAGUCAUUCAAUUAUAACCAUCCUUUAACUGCCUCAGAUCUAGUUGUUUCUAUAAAAACCCUGUUUAUAUUCUCCAAUUAAAAUCUACAGACAGGGUGCUUUUCCCCCUUUCAUCUCCAAUAUUGAGACCAAACAAUUCAAUUCAGCCAGCACUUUUUACUUCUUUGAAAAACAACAAAAAACCCUAAAUCCUCAAAACUACUAAAUCCCAUUAACUCAUACCCAAAUAUCUGAUUAUUCAAACUUUAAGCUUUAUUUUCCUCACUUCUUUCUUCACUCUUCUAAUAUCACUUCAAACGUUUCCUAAGUCAUCCCAGAAACACCUUCAGACUUUUACUGUUUUUGUAAACUUGAUCUGUUACGCAUUCAAAAAUCCACUUGGUUAUUGGCUAAGUAAGGGAUAAAUGUGGCUGACUAAGAGCUGUUCAUAUAUUGCUAUUAGUGUCAACCUAGGUUGUUCACUUGCUUUUUCUUGUCUACUUGUAUUUAUUGUUUACAUCAUUAGCUCUUUAAAAUAGGGACAUUUGUUAAAUAUAUGUUGCAUAGCAAUACAGCAUAAAAGGCUUUGGAAGUUCUAGGAGGUAGCAUUAGAAUAAAACAGCUUUUUUGGUUCCUAAUCCUGUAUACUACAUUUAUAAAAGUCCUCCUCCUAAAUACAAAUCAAGUGACUAGAUCAACAGGGUAGCAAGCUAUUUCCUUGCCUUACCAUACUUAGGAAGUUUGUUUAGCAAAGCAAAUAUUUUCAGCAGUAACCAGGACUGUUCUUCAUCUUUUAAACUUGUUGAUGUUUCAGAGCUCCUCACUUCUUCACUUAUUGUAAGGAGUUUCUUUAUUUUCUAGAGAAGUUUAAACGAUGCAAAAAGAAAGAAAGAAAAACGAAAUCGAUAGUCACAUGUCUAUGCAGAAAAUUAUUUUAAAACUAAUACGAUUUAUGGAAUGUUCAAAAACUAGAGUGAUGAGGUUAUAAGGCCACAUGAAUACCUAAUCAGAGUUGAGUAGGUCAUUCUGAAAGAAAAAGACCUCCUUAUAAUUAUGUUUUAGUACACAUUGAUCAGCACUGUAGCUUAGGAAACUGAAGUUUAAAGAACCUGUUAACAGUCUUCAGUUGAACUUCUAUGCUAAUUUAUAUGCAAUAGACGAAAGAUAGACACAGGGAUAAAAAGAACAUUUUAAACUUUUCUAAAGGAGGGGUAUUUUUAAUCAUUUGAAAUAACACAAAAGCAGUUUCUUCCAAUUAAGCUUUAAAAAGUUAGAAAUAAGUAUGGUUUGUUUUUAAGGGCAGUUCUAUGCUUAUAUGUAAAGCGAUGAAUCGUUAGAAAUGUAUGCAUGGCAAAAUGUACCUCAGAUUUGACCAACCUGAUCUUUAUCAUCAAAUCGCGCUUUUCUAAUUCAUCAUGUGGCUGGAUCUAGGACAUCAUCUUUGUUAAAUUAUCACUAAAGACAUUCACAAUGAAAACUUCAGUUAAGAAUGAUGAGACCCCAACGGUUCUUCAGUGUUAGAGGAAGCUGACGUACAGUCUUUUCGAGGAAGAGGAACUAGGUUUUAAAGAAAAGGGACUGAACGACAUCUCUUUCUACCUGCCCCACAUAAGAAAUAAGUAAGAAGAUUUGCAGAACUGUGUAACAAUGUGAAGUGACAGUGCUGAAACACAGUGCCCUUUAUACAUUAAUUUAUUAUACUGAAAAGAAAUAUA